rnacentral:rRNA from 1 species
GACGAACGCUGGCGGCGUGCUUAACACAUGCAAGUCGAACGGAAAGGCCCCCUUGUGGGGUACUCGAGUGGCGAACGGGUGAGUAACACGUGAGUAACCUACCCUUGACUUUGGGAUAACUUCAGGAAACUGGGGCUAAUGCCGGAUAGGAGCUCCUGCUGCAUGGUGGGGGUUGGAAAGUUUCGGCGGUUGGGGAUGGACUCGCGGCUUAUCAGCUUGUUGGUGGGGUAGUGGCUCACCAAGGCUUUGACGGGUAGCCGGCCUGAGAGGGUGACCGGCCACAUUGGGACUGAGAUACGGCCCAGACUCCUACGGGAGGCAGCAGUGGGGAAUAUUGCACAAUGGGCGGAAGCCUGACGCAGCAACGCCGCGUGCGGGAUGACGGCCUUCGGGUUGUAAACCGCUUUCGCCUGUGACGAAGCGUGAGUGACGGUAAUGGGUAAAGAAGCACCGGCUAACUACGUG